CUUUUUGGCGCUGCAUCUGAGCAUAGGAGGCUGCGUUAUUUAUUUGUAGAGAUUAAAAGAGAGCUGUGCCUGAAUCCACUGUUGACAAGGAGUUAAAAGCAGUGAAUUCCACUAAAAUGGUCAGGUUUUGGUAAAGAGUUGGAAACAUCCUGUAUCUGAGAUCCUUUCCACGGAGUGAUACAGAUCCAGAUGAUCUCCCAGAGAUUCAUAGAUUCCCAGUCCAGGUGGCUGGGUGGCGAGCCAACUGUGUUUGAUUCUGACUUUAGACGGAUUGUCAGGAUCUCCUUCUUCAUCCUUAUGGUGGUAGGACAAACACUGACAUAAACUCAAAAGGGCCCCAACGUUGGUUACUGAACUCUUGUCAACGAAGGCAAGUGGAUCUGAGCUCAAAGAAAUUUAAAGACAAGGGAUUUAUUUAUGUGCGCACUUUAUUAUUUUAGUUUGUUAUUUUUCAUAAUUGUUUUCUUAUAUGUAUGUACCAGCCAUAUGUAAUUAAUACACUUGUUACAAAUUGUCAUUCUGGUGUGGUAUUCUUUUUAUUGACAUUCAAUUCUCAGGCUCUUAACAAUUUAGCGUCUUCUGAUCCUGGUCCAACUUCACAUUAAUGAUAACCUCUAAGACUACUUUAGACUACUACACCUAUGUACAUUAUUACUACCUUGUAAUAAGGGUUACACUAUACUGUAGAUCAAUAGGUCAAUAUGACACCUAUGAUGCUGGUUAUGAUAUUUUGUAUGAAUUCACCACUGCCCUCUGCUGACUGUAAUCUGAAACUACACAGGAAGCGUUCCAAGCAAAGGUGGCACAGUACUCACUUAGAUUUGUGUACUAAGAACACUUGAGCGUAUGAAUUGAUAACCCUUUCUGUCACACUUCCACCCUUGAAAAUAAAAACUAGUUCAGUUGAUGAGGAUGGAUACAUAUUCAAACUGCUCAAAAUGCACAUGAAACUUUCAUUCGAGAUAUAUAUAUGAUGAAACUAAAAUAAGCACAGCGUGUUUACUUGUUAUAUACAGUAUGUGAAAUUUCAGUAACAUAGUAAGUGACUGCUGGGUGGUCAAGCAUAGUGAACUAUUACAGAUAGACAAACAGACAACUAGUUUAUCUUGUUACAAAUUUAAACUUACCAGUCAGCAUGUACCUUAACCUGUAUUGACUGCCUCAUACUGUCCCCAAAGAAGCAAGUCCAUAAAUAAAGGAAAUGGGGUGAUAGAGGGCAUUGAAAACUAGUGAUAAAAAGAAAAGUUGUCUUGUGGCUCUGCCUGAGUUUGGGUGUCUUUU